rnacentral:lncRNA from 1 species
AAAGAACAAAGCUUGUAUGGUUUGUUUGAUAUUUUAUGUUUUUGAUAUUAAGAAUUCCAUUUGGUAUUUUUAAAAUGUAAUAAAAGCAUAACGUCUUGCAUAGGUUAUAGACCAAGACAUCCGAAGAGAGGAAGGUAUCGCCUCGCACCUCGAUGGCCCCAGUCUCAAAACUAAACAACACUGCCUGAUGAGAAAUGAAUUACUAGGCUCUUGUGGAAACAAUUGUCAC